CCUUUUCGAAUGAAUGACAAACGGAGCCGCCCGGAUCCUUUAGCUCGGUUCCUGCUGCCGGCCGCUUGGUCUCCGCCUAAUCGCACAAACGCGGAAGCAACAGCGUCUUGAUGGACGCUUGCCUUUGUCCAUAUAUGGAAUCCAAUGGGAUGCAUGAUGUUCAGUGAUGCAGAAUGUGGUGCUGCACCAAUGGAGGCAGUUACAGCUACCAGAAUGAACAAUGGUUUUACAGGCUGUUAUAUUCACUUUGACUCAUGUUGUGAAGUAAAAUACAGCUUGUGUGAGAGCAUUUGAGUUUUGUUACCUUUGUGUUACAAUACUGGUCAAGAGAAACAACAGCUACUGACUCUUGCUAUUGCUUUUCAUCAAAAUAUGUUUAUUUUUAUUAUUUUUAUAAAACAGAAGCUCUGAUGUUAAUUACAUUCUAUAUACUUGAAAUACAUUAUAACGAAUGUAUUUGUAUAGUAACAAUUUACUCAGGGAUUCAAACCGAUUAAAAGGAAAUGUGUAAUGGAAGUGAUUUAAUGCUAACCAUACUUCAAUUAACAUUGAUUUAGUAAAAAUGUUGAUUACAUAAACAUAUAUAAUAUAGCAUCACAAAUAUUUAUGUCAGAGUUACGAUAUAUGGCCAAACGUUUGUGGACACCUGAUUAGAAUACCAUUGGUCUUAUGCAAACUGUUGUUUAGAAUGUCUUUGUUUACUAUCGAAUUUUUAUUUCCUGGAUCUGAGUCACCCAAUCAGGUUUCAGCAUGACAAGGCCCCUAUGAACAAAGCACGCUCCAUGAAUACAUGGUCUUUGCAACGCUUGGAGUGGAAGAUUUCGAGUGGAUUGACUGAUGAAUUGGAAUGCUGACUGAACCCUAGGCCUUUUCAACAGCAUCGGUCCGUGAGCUCAUUCUUGUGGAACAUGAAAAAUAAAACGUGUCGACAUGGCAUUAUUUUACAACAA